CACGUAGGCGGAUAUUUAAGUCAGGGGUGAAAUCCCAGAGCUCAACUCUGGAACUGCCUUUGAUACUGGGUACCUUGAGUAUGGAAGAGGUAAGUGGAAUUCCGAGUGUAGAGGUGAAAUUCGUAGAUAUUCGGAGGAACACCAGUGGCGAAGGCGGCUUACUGGUCCAUUACUGACGCUGAGGUGCGAAAGCGUGGGGAGCAAACAG
rnacentral:rRNA from 1 species